GAUGAACGCUGGCGGCGUGCCUAAUACAUGCAAGUCGAGCGAACAGACGAGGAGCUUGCUCCUCUGACGUUAGCGGCGGACGGGUGAGUAACACGUGGAUAACCUACCUAUAAGACUGGGAUAACUUCGGGAAACCGGAGCUAAUACCGGAUAAUAUAUUGAACCGCAUGGUUCAAUAGUGAAAGACGGUUUUGCUGUCACUUAUAGAUGGAUCCGCGCCGCAUUAGCUAGUUGGUAAGGUAACGGCUUACCAAGGCAACGAUGCGUAGCCGACCUGAGAGGGUGAUCGGCCACACUGGAACUGAGACACGGUCCAGACUCCUACGGGAGGCAGCAGUAGGGAAUCUUCCGCAAUAGGCGAAAGCCUGACGGAGCAACGCCGCGUGAGUGAUGAAGAUCUUCGGAUCGUAAGACUCUGUUAUUAGGGAAGAACAAAUGUGUAAGUAACUAUACACGUCUUGACGGUACCUAAUCAGAAAGCCACGGCUAACUACGUG
rnacentral:rRNA from 1 species